CGAAAAGAGUAUAUGGUGGAUGCCUUGGCAAUAGACAACGAUGAAGGACGUGGCCGGCUGCGAUAAGCCGCGGGGAGGUGCUGAGCAACCGUUAAUCCGCGGAUUUCCGAAUGGGAAAACCCCGCUACCGUAAUUGGUAGUGACUACUUACCUGCAAGGGUAGGAUAGAGAUAACCUGGCGAAUUGAAACAUCUUAGUAGCCAGAGGAAAAGAAACGAACGAAUACUUUUUUAUGUAUUUCAGUUCGUAAGCUUCCCGGAUUUACCGCAAGGUAAGUCCGUGUGAAGUUUACGAUCCCUGAUGUACGUGAAGAAAGUGUUUACAUUCCCCCAGUAGUGGCGAGCGAAAAGGGAAGAGCCCAAACCAUGCGUACGCAUAGCUCAUAUGGCGUUGUACGUAUGGGGUUGUAGGUUUAUGCAACGUUAAUGUAUGAAAAACAGACGGAAUUGUUGUAGCUGUCUAGAAGAACGCGGCUGGAAUGCCCGACCAUAGAGGGUGAGAGUCCCGUAUUUAAAAGAUAUAUGACAUCUGUCAGCAUAGACCUGAGUAGGGCGGGACACGUGAAAUCCCGUCUGAAUCUGGGAGGACUAAACUCCUAAGGCUAAAUAUGUCUAUUGACCGAUAGUGAACUAGUACCGUGAGGGAAAGGUGAAAAGUACCCUUUUAAAGGGAGUGAAAUAGACCUGAAACCAUAUACUUACAGAGAGUAGGAGCCCCGUAUUUAUACGUGGGUGACUGCGUGCUUUUUGCAGAACGAACCAUCGAGUUCGCUGUAUGCCGUUUUGCUUAAGUCUCAUCCGAGACGGAGGCGUAGCGAAAGCGAGUAUUAAUAGUGCGAAAUAAAAAUGGCAUGCACGAGACCCGAAACCGGGUGAUCUAUCCAUGAGCAGGGUGAAGUUCCGCGAAAGCGGAAUGGAGGCCCGAACCCGUUGGCUGUUCAAUACCAUGGGAUGACUUGUGGAUAGGGGAGAAAUUCCAAUCGAACCCGGCAAUAGCUGGUUCUCGUCGAAAUAGCUUUAGGGCUAGCCUCGUAAGGUAAUAUAGAGUGGUAGAGCACUGAAAGGGAUUAGGGGGCCUCGUGUUCCCAACCCUAUCAAACUCCGAAUACUCUAUAUGGAAUUACGGGAGUCAGAACGCGGGGGCUAAGCUCCGCGCUCAAAAGGGGAACAGCCCAGAUCAUAGCUUAAGGUCCCAAAAUGCUGCCUAAGUGGUUAAGGCGGUGGAGUUGCACAGACAGCGAGGCAGUUGGCUUAGAAGCAGCCACCUGUUAAAGAAAGCGUAACAGCUCACUCGUUAAGCGACUCUGCGCCGAAAAUUCAACGGGGCUCAAGGCAGCUACCGAAAGCAUGAAUGUCCCGCCUCUGGCGGGACGUGGUAGACGAGCGUUUCAUUUGCGUCGAAGGUGUACCGUGAGGUCCGCUGGAGCGAAUGGAAGUGAGGAUGAUGGUAUAAGUAACAAGACACAUGGUGAGAACCCAUGUCACCGUAAACCUAAGGUUUCCUGGGCAAUGUCGAUCAUCCCAGGGUUAGUCGGGCCUAAGACGAGGCCGAAAGGCGUAGCCGAUGGACAGCAGGUUAAUAUUCCUGCACCGACUGCAUAGUUUAUAAGGAGUGACGGAUCAUCGCACUUUAUCAGGACAAAUGACUUAUCCUGUACAGCACAUUAGUUGGACCACCUUGGUAAAUCCGGGAGGUUAUUCCAAACAGCGAAGUGUCUGAAGGAGAGCGCGGCCGCAAGGCCAAGCCUCUAUAAAGAAAGAAGGUCCCCGGAAAAGCUUCGUAUAAUUUCCUAUGCGGCCGUCCGUACCGCAAACCAACACAGGUAGGUGGAUGUAAGAGCAUUAAGGUGAUCGGGAGAACCCUCGUUAAGGAACUCGGCAAAAUAGCAGCCGUACGUUCGCAAUAAGGCUUGCCUCAUCGAAAGAUGAGGCCGCAGCGCAAGAUCCCUGGCGACUGUUUACCAAAAACACAGGUUCCUGCUAACUCGCAAGAGGAUGUAUAGGAGCUGACUCCUGGCCAGUGUCGGAACGUUAAACCCGCUCGUUAACGCGAGUGGACAAAGCGCCGAUGAACGCCGGCCGUAACUAUAACGGUCCUAUGGUAGCGAAAUUCCUUGGCACGUAAGUUGUGUCCUGCACGAAUGGAGUCACGACUGGGGAACUGUCUCAACGAGGGACCCGGUGAAAUUGCAAUGUCGGUAAAGAUGCCGCCACCCUGCGGCUAGACGANNNNNNNNNNAAAGAUGCCGCCACCCUGCGGCUAGACGAAAAGACCCCAUGAAGCUUCACUACAGCUUGGUAUUGGCUCGUCGAAUAUAAUGCUCAGUAUAGGUGGGAGGCUUUGAAAGUUCUGCUUCGGCGGAACUGGAGCCACAAUAUGAGAUACCACCCUUUAUGUUUGACGCGUCUAACGACGUGGUGUGAAUCCACCACCCGGACAGUGCCUGGCGGGUAGUUUAUCUGGGGCGGAUUCCUCAUAAAUAGUAACUGAGGAGCCUAUAAGGUCAGCUAGAUACGGAUGGAAACCGUGUCGAUAGUGCAAAGGCAUAAGCUGGCUUCACUGCAAGACCUACAAGUCGCGCAGACACGAAAGUGGAGCUUAGUGAACCGACCGUUCUCAUAUAGAAGAGCGGAAGAUCAUCGGAUAAAAGCUACUCUGGGGAUAACAGGCUUAUCUCCCCCAAUAGUCCACAUAGACGGGGAGGUUUGGCACCUUAACAUAUCGGGGUGCCGUAGAAGUGAUUCUACAAGUCGCCAUUGUUUCUUCGUCAUUAAAUAUUUGAAACAUGGAAAAUAAAUCCAGCUCAUAACGGUGAACGCCAUGAUAUAAUCAUAUUAUGGUCAACGCCGUGGGAAGUCUUACCCAAGAACAACAAGACCUCAUCAUCGGAAGCUUACUUGGAGACGGGACGUUGCGUCGUCAAAAUAAACAACGACGAAAACAUCCGUUAUUCGAAGUUAACCAUUCCGCAAAGUACAGCGUGUACGUCGAUUGGAAGUAUAAAAUGCUUCAAAAUUUGGUUCUAACAGGACCAAAAGCUCGACGGACAAAUGGCGAUCGUAUCGCAUAUCGAUUUACGACGCGCAGUUUGCCUCAAUUCGAUAUAUUCUAUGAAACUUUCUACCCAAGCGGUAAGAAAGUUCUUCCUACAAAUAUCGUAUUGUCGCCGCUUACACUUGCUGUUUGGUUGAUGGAUGAUGGCAACUUGAAUCGGAACUCAAUUUAUCUCAAUACCCAACAGUUUACACAGCAAGAACAAAUGAAUUUGCUCUUAUUGCUGAAAAAACAAUGGAAUAUUGACGGUACAUUGAAUCGAGAUAAGAAGUAUUACAGGAUUCGACUUACAAAAGUCGGAAGCGACCGAUAUAAAGACAUCGUUCGUUCUUAUAUUCUGCCAAUCUUCCAAUACAAAAUUGGGUAUUGACCCCGUAACGACUGACCCGAAAGGGGAGGCUCUACUGUAAUAUGUAGGGCAAUACGCUGGCUCUCAUUAGAUAAAAAGCUGCCAUGGCCUUGUAAGCCUAACGCGGCCAAUGAGAUGAAGGCAUAGUCUGACCCUCUUGGUAACAAGGGGUUAGCACAAAGUACAAGAAAAAGUUUGUGUUGUAAUUACGCGAUGUCGGCUCACCCUAUCCUGGGGCUGAAGAAGGUCCCAAGGGUUUGGCUGUUCGCCAAUGAAAAGGAUACGCGAGCUGGGUUCAAACCGUACGGGCAAGCUGCCCGCGGCGGCUUAGUCGAGCAAUCGACUUCGAAAAAAUUGACUAAUAUCGGUGAAGUCCUAACGAUACACAUAUAACCUGUCAUGUGUUAGGAUAAUACCGAGGGAAGUUAUAACUCUUCGAGCAUAGAUGAAUAAACUUACGAUCGCUCAUAGAUCAUAUAUCGCUGGAUUUCUUGAUGGAGAUGGAAGUAUUUACGUUCGGCUCAAACCGAAUGUAACCUACCGUUUCCGCUAUCAAGUGGCUCCGAACAUCGUAUUCUUUCAAUCAAAGAAAGAACGGUCCGGACUAGAAAAUAUUCAGCAGAUACUUGGAAUAGGGUAUUUGCGUGAUAGAAAAGAUGGAAUCGUCGAAUAUACAAUCGGCGACGAAGCGUCUAUUAUUGCACUUCUUACUUCUAUUUAUCCAUAUUUGUAUCUCAAGCGAAAGCAAGCACUCAUAAUGCUUACAAUUCUCAAAAAGAAGAAAUUAGUUGCAAACGGAUCAGAUUUUUUACAGCUUUGCGCUUUAAUUGAUCAAUUCCAAUUGCUAAACUAUUCGAAAAAAAGAAUUCAAACAAGCAGUGCUGUACAAAAAACACUGAUUGCAGAAGGGAUUUUAACCCCGUAGAGACUUGAUAUGUACCAAGGGUACAUAUCGGAUUUGCUGGAUGUUACGAAUUUCAAAGCAAAUAAUACGUCGAUCUCCUUACACAAUAAGGAUGGUGAUAUAGUCCAUGCUUCUGGUAACAGAAGAAUAUAUAAACAGCGCAAGACAGGUUGGACUCUAUCUGUCGCAGGCGUGGAAACUUGAGGAGCGUCCUUCCUAGUACGAGAGGACCGGAAGGGACCAACCUCUGGUGUACCAGCUGUCUAGUUCUUAGGCAUUGCUGGGUAGCUACGUUGGGCUGGUGAUAAGCGCUGAAAGCAUCUAAGCGCGAAGCCCACUCCAAGACCAGGUUUCGUAUGAGAUCCCUCGAAGACUACGAGGUUGAUAGGCGGAAGGUGUACGCACAGCAAUGUGUUGAGCCGAUCCGUACUAAUAUGAUCCAG
rnacentral:rRNA from 1 species